GUCUUGGUGUAUGUGUAGGGGGUGAGCCCUUCCUAACCGUCUCCGCUGCCCUCACAGGCAGUGCUCAGGGAGACACUUGAGGAAGCAGGCAUGUUGCUUACUGAGAGAAGGUAGGAGUGCUGGCUGAGCUCAUGAUGUCAUCUUAGGUAGGGUUUUCCAAGGACUGGGAGGCAGCAAGGGACACAAGGAGGCCAUUGUGUCCUACUUGAUGUUAGCCAGGCAAUGGUGGACCUGCCCUGUGCCUAAAUCCACUGGGAGACAUUUAUCCCUGCCCCAUCACAGACCACCCAACCUGGGUGACCUGAAGCAAAGACCAUUUUAUUGUGCCCCAGGCUCCAUGGCAGAUCCUCAGGAAAGCAGAGUAUGGAGGCCCCAUAAUGGGUACUCUGGGAAGGCUGGGGAGUAGGAUGACACCGGGGUGGUUGGGUUUCAUGCAGUUAUCUCGAGGCUUCCUCAUCCUGGUGUGUGGCAGCCAGGCUGGGCGACCCCAAAGCUGGGCUUCACUGGGACUGUUCAUGCCGACCCUGCAUCUGACCUCUCCAGGUGAUUUGGGCUUCUUCAGAGGCUGGUAACAUCAGGGGUGAUGACCAUUUAUCAUGGUGACUCGCAGCCCCUAGAGAAGACAUUUGUAAAGACAAGGUAGAAGCUGAACAACUCUUUAUGAUAUCAGUUUAGAAGUCAUACCAUGUCACUCCACUGUGCUGGGUCAGAGCGGUCACCUCCCUGCCCAUGUUCUGAGGGAGGACAAAGACCUGGAUCUCAGCGGGGUGGACUGGGCUCAGCCUUCUGCGAUCUGCUAUAGGCCAGUGCUUGCAGAUAUGGAAGGCAGGACAUAUGGAGAGGGGACUCAUCACAGAUAAUGCCUUCAAAGGGAAUGAGAAACUUCAAUCUGUGCAGGGGGAUGAUGGUGUACUCCAUUCUCCUAGAGAACCUUGCUGCAUUGGCUUUCUUGAGUGGAACUCAGCUGUCUUCAUCAUCAGAGCAGAUCGGGGAGUUGCUGAGAAUGCUGUGGUACUUUUUCGGGGAUCUUUGGUUCUUAUUUUGAGCAUCGCUGCCUGGCUCCAGUGUAGAUUCCUCAGUCUGCUAGCACAACACUUUCAUUCUGCUGGCAAAGACUUUCUAGAUUGCCACACUGACCUUUGAGUCUUCUCAGCGCAGAUCUGUGAAGCAGGCUUGCAUGAGAUAUUGUUGUGGGCUCUGGGUCCCCAUUUGGAUUUGUGGGAGGCACUGUUAUGGGCUCUAGGUCUUCAGCUGGACUCAUGCAGGACAUUAUCAUGGGAUCCAGGCCCUCAGCUGGAUUCUGUGCUCCUUACUGUGUGGACAGAUUUCCUGCACUCUCUUGUAUGAUUCUUUGAGUGACUAUUAUAAAUAAUCUUAUAAAAUAUGUGUCCUAUAUUAUAUUGUUCCCCUUGAAAAUAUCCCCCAAUCCAACACACCACCCCUGGUGACAUCCUGAUCUCAGCCAGCACUGGUGUCUUCUCUCAGUUAGCAGCAUGUCUGGUUCCUUAGGUGGCCCCCUUGAGGACCACCCAUGAGGACUGAGAAGAGGGACAGGGAGGCCUCAUCCCACAUCCCCUCCAAAGACCCUGUGACCCCCACUUGAUGCUGUCAACAUGCAGGUCCCUGGGCAAAGCUGCAGGUCACAAAGUCACCAUGUCAACCUUCCCGUCCAUCAUAACUCCAGAGUAUUCUGCCCUAGGCUGAGGAAAAGGGCCUGGGGACAGCUAGUAAGUAGCAGGACAUCCAGAGCAGCAGUGUCUCCAGUCCCUGUGCUCUGACAGUGGACUGUUGUGGACACACUGGACAUUGGUGACCGGGCUCCAGAGGCUGUGGUCCCUGAGCACAGGCAAGGUGGUUGAGCAGGAGGCCCAAGGUAGCUGGUGCUUGACCUGCCUAGGCCCUGGGACAGCAUCUUAUGAACUAGGGAGUUCACAGGGAGAGCCAAGAAAGUGGAGAGGCACUGCCCCUGUGUAUCCUGCUCUAUGCUCUCCCUCAUGCUCUAGCUGGUGCUGUCUACACCACUUUCCAGAGCCCAUAGUUUCCUGUUCCCUGGCUGGGGCUGGGGAGCUUUCUACUUCUAUUACUCAAACUCUGCCAGUUUCCACAACUAUGGACGCCCACAGGUCAGGCUCUGGAACCAAAAUGAGGAUGUUCUGCAGUACUGAAAUGGCAUAUUUGAUAGUACUGCCUCAUUGACUCGUGCAUGGUCUUCCCAGGUGGGCCCAGUUGUCUCUGUCCCCUAAGUCACUACAGGAGGAUGUGGCACAAGAGGGUGUGAGCCUUUGCCAGAAGAAAGGCAAGACCAGUGUGCUGUGAGAUAGGAGAAUCCGGCCUCUGUGACCCUCUGAUUUCUGGAGGGGAACCAAAGGCCCAGCAAGGUGGUGAUCAUUUGCAUCCAGCAGACCACGGGAGCCUUUAUCGGCCAUUUUCUCUUCAGAGUGAGUUGAAGGAAAUGAGUGAGACCUUGUGUGCCAGAAUUCUCUCCUGGUGAUUUCUGAGGGCCACCUGUGCUAUUGGCUGUGAUUCCAACCUGGGCUGGUCCAAGCAGGGCCAGAGUGUGAGGAGAGGGUGGAAGAAGAGGGGGAAGCCAGAUGGAGGCCUCUGGGAGAAAGGCUUCUACCAGAGGAUGGGUGGGUCACUCUGUGCUUCUUAAAACACAGAUGGUAGCCUUGAGGAGGAUCAUUUGGAAGGGGAAGGAUGAGACCAGGUGGCAAUGCAAAGAGGAAGGGUCCUAGGCAGCGUGGGGAAGGCAGGUGGGAGCCUAGGAUAGGCUCAAAGAGGGGUGGUGGGAUUGGCCCAGGUAGCACCCACAGGCUGGAACUUGGGGGGUCAGGCAAGCUGAUGUCCACCCUCCAACCCUGAGGCUCUGGACAUGUUACCCUGCUGCAGGGGACAGCUACUGCAGCCCUCCCUGGGCAUCACGACCGUAGUAGCUUCUGAAACACACAAGCCAGGGCCUCUGCACUCAGAGAAGCCUCCCCAGCUCUGCCCUGAAGCAGUGUCAGCAGCACUUAGAUUACAAGCAGGAGAAUGUGUCCCCCACUGUCUCCACAAAAGCAAAGAAAGGGCUGUAUGGAGAGGCCACAGCACAGAUCCUUCUUGUCUCCCCUCUCCUGUCCUCUGCUGUCUGCCAGGGUCAGUGGAAGUUGUUGUUCACUGUAUUUAGGAAAUAAUGACAAGAAAAAUGCCUAUACAUGUACAGGGCAUAUGCAGUUUUUAAAAUAUUUCCAGUCCAUCUUUAGGUGAAUGGGUAGAUGGAGAAACCAGAGAUAUAGAACACAAUGGCGCUGUCCUCUGGCCGCCAAGGUUUCCAUGAGGGCUAUGCACAUCACAUCUGAUGAGCCUUCUUUCUUGCUGGGCAGACUGCCUCCUUAUCUCUGCCUGUCAACCAUUUGAUUAUACCAUGUCUUGGCAUAGGCUUCUUUGCCUCAUCCUACAUGGACAAAUUGGAAUUGCAGAUGAGUGUCAUUCAUGAAAUUUUGGAGUUGUUUGGAUACCAUCUUUAAGGAAUGUCUCUACUCCUUUCUCUCUUUUUGACUUCUGAGAUUCUUCCAUUGUCUAUAGAGUUCUGCUGGUCGUAUCCCACAAGCCUCUUAAAUAUUCAUCUCUCUUUCAUUUUUCAUUUCCUUGAAACUCAUGCUUUAAAUUAUGCCAUAUUCAAUUUGCUUAUUCUUUCUUCUACUGUCCACCUUUUCUGAAUCAGAGCUGGACACCUCCACAAAAUAAAUGAAUAGUUAUUUAUACUGAAAAAAAAAGAAACGGUAUCAUACACCUAUGGGGCACUUCAUCACCAGCAUUUCUGUUUGGUUCCUCGUUAAUGUUCUCACUUGUUGUUGUUAUCCUGACUUCUUCUAAUUUUUUACCCUUGUUUCCCCUCAGUCUUUGAGCAUCGUUAAAAUGGCUGCUUUAAAUCAGUACGUAGUAAAUCUGAAGACUUGACCUCCUCUGGAGUUGUCUCUGUCAAUGAAUGUAGUUCCCUUGAGAGAGACAUGUAUUCCUAUUUCCUUAUAUGCCUUGUGGAGGUUUAUUUAUUUAUUUAUUUAUUUAUUUAUUUUUUUAAAUUGGGUGUUUGAACAUUAUUAAACUGUAGCUAUAGAAAUCAAAUCCCCAGCAUGCUUUCCCAUGUUUUGUUUUGUUGGCCUGGUAGAUGUCUGUAUUCAUUCAUGUACUUUGAGACUUUUCCAGACAUCCUUUUUUUUGUGGGGGGUUUGAGACAGGGUCUCAUGAUGCUGUUCAAGGUUGACCUUGAGCUCACUUUGUAGCCCAGGCUGUUCUGGAGCUCACAAUGAUUCUCCUGCCUCAGCCUCCCAAAUACUGGAAUUACA
rnacentral:lncRNA from 1 species